rnacentral:rRNA from 1 species
UACGUAGGGGGCAAGCGUUAUCCGGAUUUACUGGGUGUAAAGGGAGCGUAGACGGCAGUGCAAGUCUGAAGUGAAAGGCAAGGGCUCAACCCUUGGACUGCUUUGGAAACUGUGCUGCUGGAGUGUCGGAGAGGCAAGUGGAAUUCCUAGUGUAGCGGUGAAAUGCGUAGAUAUUAGGAGGAACACCAGUGGCGAAGGCGGCUUGCUGGACGAUGACUGACACUGAGGCUCGAAAGCGUGGGGAGCAAACAGG